ensembl:lncRNA
AAGUCCAACAGAAAUCAUCAAAAUGUCAAGCUGAAAUUCAGCACUCUGCAAAUGCUGACCAAAGUCCUGCCCAAGGAGCAGCGGAUGCAGUAGAUUGUGCUGACUCAGUGAAGUCAUAGGUCUUGAGUAUCUUCAGCACCUCUGUUGUUUGAACUGGGUGGCCUCCCUUGAUGAACUCAAAGCAUUGUGAAAAAUCAAGCUUGUCCCUCAUCCCUGAUCUGUGACUCCACAGUGUCUAUGCAUAUGCCUGAAUCUUGAUAUCUUUGCAGGAUGUCAGUUCACAGCAAGUUAGAUGUGCUCUAGUCAUCUAAGAAGGCAGCUGAGUUUCUUGGCACUGCCUCCUCUUCCUCUCCAUAACCAUUCAAGGUCAGACCCAGGAAUCUAUUCCCUGCCAUGUGGGACAUGUGGAGAGGCUGCAAUCUUCACCAACUCCUUAUCUCUGCCUCUUGGCCCCAGACACAGAACUAGCUGUUAUACUCCUUUGGCAAUACUCCCUGAUCUCAUGUCCAUCUGUCAGAAGUCACAGCAGAGAGAUAGAAAGACAAAUGGGCCAUAACAGAAAAAACUUCUUUCUUCCCAGAAUGUCAAGCCU